AAGCCAAAAAACACACAGGACGCGAGAAAGUAAAGGAGAAAAAGCGACUACACCUCCCCCACGAAGAAGAAAGAAGAAUUCAAUUCAUAGGGUUAUUUCCCUCCUUCUCGUUUUUUUGUCCGGACGUGGAAUUCUCCAAUUCAGGGGCGGUAAUGCCGAGGACAGUUUCGGCAUUAAUUUCUUUCAAUAUUAUUGAAAUUCGGGUUUGAAUUUCUUUGUGAUUCUCUUCGGAUUCCGCAAUGGAGUCUCUGAUGGAGCUCUGCGACCUAAUCGCGGACCACCCGGCGCAAUUCGCCGAGAAGCUUUCGUGGAUAUGCGGCCGGUGUCCCCCGCCGGAGUCUCUCCUCGGCGGAUCGCCGCGUGUGACCCGGUCCCAGCUCAAUGCCGUCCUCGCUGUCGCUCGCUUUCUCUCCAAAUGCUCCGACGCCUCCGAUCUCCGCCCCAAAUCCGCGGUUCUCGAGUUUCUUCGCUCCGUUCCGGCUUCCUUCGACCGCUCCUUUUGGCCGCAGUCGUUCGGCACCGACUUGAUCGGUUUCUUCUUCGUUGAUUUUCUCGGAUACGUGUCGAAGGCGGCGGAAUUGUCGCCGGAUUUCGCGUCGGAUGUCGCCGGGUUCUCGGGAGAGGUCGUCGUCGCGGCGAUUAGCGACGGAGGCGAGGAUUUAGCGGUUUCUAGGGCUUUUCUGACGGCUCUUUCGCAGAAUUUCCCUCCAAUUUUGCCUCAUGAUGCUGAGAAGCUGAUCAAUAUGUUGAUUGACCAGUCUGCGGUGGUCUCCGGCAAUGUGGCCCAGUCUCCGGUGACGCCGAGAGGUCGGAAUGCGGCGAUCUCCGAGACCUCGUCCUCGGCGCAGAGCUCGCCGAUGAACAAUGGGAACCAUCACCAGGGCAAUGAGAGUAAUGAGGUCAGUAAUGUGUCUGGUUCGUCAGGGAGUGGUUCGUCUAAGGGGUCAAUGGUGAUGAAUGGGAGCAGCAUUAUGUGGAAGAGUGGGGUUGAUCAGUUGGGAGUGACUUUUGGAUUGAAUGAUGGAGGCAGCGGAGGCGGGGCGGCAAUGCUUAGGCAGCAAGUUGCUCAGUUUGAGGAAGAGUCUGUUGAAAAUUUGGAGAAGCAAGAGGUGGCUUUUAAAUUGAUUGCUCAUAUAUUGGAGAAAGCUCGUGUUGAUACUGCGCUAUUGGAGGAGGUCAGAUUAAUUUCCAAGAGGCAGCUGCAGUCUAUGUACGUGUUCCUGAGGAUUAGGAAGCGAGAUUGGAGUGAACAUGGGGCUCUCUUAAAAGCUAGAAUCAACACAAAGUUGUCAGUAUAUCGAGCUGCUGUCGAGUUGACUCUUAAUUGCCUUGCUUGUUAUGAUACUGACGGGAAAUCAGCCAAGAAAUUAGCACAUGAGACUGUUGCAUUAUUGAUGGAAGCUGCUGAAGCAUGCUUACAAUCUGUGUGGCGUAAGGUGCGAAUUUGUGAAGAGCUCUUUGGUUGUUUAUUGUCUGGGCUUGCACAAAUUGCUGUCAAACGGGGCGGCCAGGCCCUUCGUAUUUUGCUCAUCCGCCUCAAGCCCGUAGUGUUAGCUGUAUGCACCCAGGCUGAGACUUGGGCAAGCAGCCAAGGAGCAAUGUUUGAUAGUGUAUUGAAGACAAGUUGUGAGAUAAUUGAGUCAUGUUGGACCAAGGAGCGAGCUCCAGUCGAUACAUUCAUAAUGGGAUUAGCUACAAGUAUUCGAGAACGAAAUGAUUAUGAGGAACAGGGUUGUAAAGACAAAGAGGCCAUGCCUGUUGUGCAGCUAAAUGUUGUACGUCUGCUAGCUGAUCUGAAUGUUGCUGUUAACAAGUCCGAAGUUGUAGACAUGAUAUUACCUCUAUUUAUUGAAAGUUUAGAAGAGGGUGAUGCAACAACUCCUAGUUUAUUGAGACUCCGGCUCCUUGAUGCUGUAUCCCGCAUGGCGAGUUUAGGUUUUGAGAAAUCAUACCGUGAGACUGUUGUUCUAAUGACAAGAAGUUACUUAAAUAAGCUUUCAAGUUUAGGAUCUGCUGAUAACAAAACUGUGCCACAAGAAGCUACAACAGAACGCGUUGAGACGCUUCCUGCAGGAUUCCUUCUCAUUGCAAGUGGUCUUACAAAUACUAAAUUGCGUUCAGACUAUCGUCAUCGUUUGUUAUCUUUAUGCUCGGAUGUAGGCCUUGCAGCUGAAUCCAAAAGUGGAAGGAGUGGAGCAGAUUUUCUGGGUCCACUACUUCCUGCUGUGGCUGAAAUAUGCUCUGAUUUUGAUCCUACAGUAGAUGUGGAGCCUUCACUUUUAAAGUUAUUUCGCAACUUGUGGUUCUAUAUUGCUCUCUUUGGCUUGGCACCUCCUAUACAGAAGGUUCAACAACCUUUGAAACAAGUCUCAACUACACUAAACAGUGUGGGAAGCAUUGGUACAAUUCCUCUUCAAGCUGUGGGUGGACCUUAUAUGUGGAACUCACAAUGGUCUACUGCUGUUCAGAGAAUUGCUCAAGGAACUCCGCCACUGGUUGUUAGCUCUGUGAAAUGGCUUGAAGAUGAGUUGGAGCUGAAUGCUCUUCACAACCCUGGCAGUCGCCGAGGGAAUGGCAAUGAGAAAGCUGCUUUAACUCAACGAGCUGCCCUUUCUACUGCUCUUGGAGGGCGUGUUGAUGUUGCGGCAAUGACUACAAUCUCAGGAGUGAAGGCUACCUAUCUUCUUGCUGUGGCAUUUCUGGAGAUCAUACGUUUCAGCAGUAAUGGCGGCAUCCUCAAUGGUGACUCUAGUUUAACUGCUUCUAGAAGUGCAUUCAGUUGUGUAUUUGAAUACCUGAAAACUCCAAAUCUUAUGCCCGCGGUCUUCCAAUGUUUGAUGGCAACUGUCCAUAGGGCUUUUGAAACAGCAGUUAUAUGGCUGGAAGAUCGAAUAUCUGAAACAGGAAAUGAAGCUGAAGUGAGAGAAUCAACUCUUUUUGCCCAUGCUUGCUUUCUUAUCAAAAGUAUGUCACAAAGAGAGGAACACAUCAGGGAAGUUUCUGUGAACUUGCUGACUCAGCUUAGAGAUAAGUUUCCACAGGUCUUGUGGAAUUCAUCUUGUGUUGAUUCCCUCCUAUUCUCAAUUCAUAAUGAUACUCCUGCUAUUGUUGUCAAUGAUCCUGCUUGGGUGGUGACUGUUCGUUCUUUAUACCAAAAGAUUGUUCGAGAGUGGAUCAUUAAAUCACUUUCAUAUGCUCCUUGCUCUAGCCAAGGUCUUCUACAGGAAAAGCUGUGUAAAGCGAACACAUGGCAAAGAGCACAGCAUACACCUGACGUGGUUUCUCUUUUAUCUGAGAUACGGAUUGGCACAGGUAAAACCGAUUGUUGGAAUGGCAUACAAACUGCAAAUAUUCCUGCUGUUAUGGCUGCCGCAGCUGCAGCUUCAGGAGGCAACUUAAAAUUAACAGAAGCCUUCAAUUUGGAAGUGCUCAGUACUGGUAUAGUCAGUGCAACAAUGAAAUGUAACCAUGCUGGAGAAAUUGCCGGAAUGAGAAGGUUGUAUAACAGUAUGGGUGGAUUCCAGUCCGGCACUUCACCAACUGGAUUUGGGCUCGGUGUUGGGCUUCAAAGGUUGAUUUCUGGAGCAUUUCCUCAACAGACAGAAGCUGAAGAUGAGCAAUUUAAUGGGAUGUUGCUCACAAAGUUUGUGCGUUUACUACAACAGUUCGUUAGUGCUGCAGAGAAAGGUUGGGAAGUGGACAAGUCCCAAUUCCGUGAGACUUGUUCUCAGGCUACGGCAUUACUUCUGUCGAAUCUGGGCUCUACCUCAAAAUCAUAUGUGGAGGGCUUCUCACAACUUCUUCGUCUUCUCUGCUGGUGUCCUGCUUAUAUUUCUACAUCAGAUGCAAUGGAAACUGGUGUAUUCAUUUGGACUUGGUUGGUUUCUUCUGCUCCCGAAUUGGGCUCUCUAGUCCUUGCAGAGCUUGUUGAUGCAUGGUUAUGGACCAUUGAUACAAAACGUGGUAUCUUUGCUUCAGACGUAAAAUAUUCUGGGCCAGCUGCAAAGUUAAGGCCUCAACUUUCUCCUGGUGAGCCAGAAGUGCCUCCUGAAGUGAAUCCUGUUGAGCAAAUAAUGGCUCAUAGAUUAUGGCUUGGAUUUUUCAUUGACCGCUUUGAGGUAGUUCGACACAAUAGUAUUGAACAACUCUUACUACUUGGUCGAAUGUUACAAGGGACGACAAAGCUUCCCUGGAAUUUUUCACACCAUCCUGCAGCUACUGGUACUUUUUUCACUGUCAUGCUUCUUGGGCUCAAGUUCUGCUCAUGUCAAUCGCAGCGGAAUCUGCAGAACUUUAAGACAGGUCUUCAGUUGCUGGAAGAUAGGAUCUAUAGGGCCUCUUUGGGAUGGUUUGCUUUUGAGCCUGAAUGGUUUGACACAAGCUAUAUGAAUUUUACUCAGAGUGAAGCUCAAUCCGUCACUGCAUUUGUCCACUACCUUUCAAAUGAGCGGGCAGAUGCUGCCGUCCAAUCCGAUUUAAAAGGAAGAGGACAUGAAAACGGGAAUAGUUUGGUUGAUGCGAGUGAUCAAUAUCACCCUGUCUGGGGUCAGAUGGAGAACUAUGCUGCAGGAAGAGAAAAACGAAAGCAGCUACUCUUGAUGCUAUGCCAGUAUGAGGCCGACAGGCUUGAAGUUUGGGCGCAACCCACUAAUACAAAGGAGACUUCAACUUCUAAGCAAAAAAUUAGUUCAGAGAAGUGGAUUGAAAAUGCCAGGACUGCCUUUUCUGUAGAUCCUCGGAUUGCUUUAUCUUUGGCAAAGAGGUUCCCAACAAAUACAUUUUUGAAGGCCGAAGUGACACAGCUGGUUCAGUCACAUAUAUUGGACAUCCGCUCCAUUCCUGAAGCAUUGCCAUAUUUUGUUACUCCAAAGGCUGUGGAUGAAAAUUCAGCACUUCUACAACAGUUGCCACACUGGGCUGCCUGUUCAAUUACACAAGCUCUUGAGUUUCUUACUCCAGCAUAUAAGGGACAUCCUCGAGUCAUGGCAUAUGUUCUUAGAGUACUGGAGUCUUAUCCUCCUGAACGAGUAACUUUCUUCAUGCCACAACUAGUGCAGGCUUUGCGGUAUGAUGAAGAGAAAUUAGUGGAAGGAUAUCUGCUUAGAGCUACCCAGCGAAGUGAUUUAUUUGCCCAUAUUUUAAUCUGGCACUUACAGGGUGAGACGGAGGUUCCAGAAUCAGGACAAGAGACUGUGUCUGUGAAGAAUGCUGCAUUUCAAGCAUUGUUGCCUCAAGUUCGACAGCGUAUUGUUGAUGGUUUUAAUCCCAAGGCCCAAGAUGUGUUCCAGAGAGAAUUUGAUUUCUUUGACAAGGUUACAUCUAUUUCUGGUGUACUAUUCCCACUGCCGAAGGAUGAACGUCGGGCGGGCAUUCGGAGAGAAUUGGAGAAAAUUGAAGUGAUGGGAGAGGAUCUCUAUUUACCAACUGCUCCAAACAAGCUUGUCCGAGGAAUUCAGGUAGACAGUGGAAUACCACUACAAUCAGCUGCAAAAGUACCUAUAAUGAUAACAUUUAAUGUUAUUGAUCGGGGUGGAGACCACAAUGAUGUAAAGCCACAAGCUUGUAUUUUUAAGGUUGGAGAUGAUUGCCGCCAAGAUGUUCUUGCUCUACAAGUAAUUUCACUUCUUAGAGACAUAUUUGAAGCGGUUGGAAUUCAUCUUUAUUUGUUUCCAUAUGGUGUGCUCCCAACUGGCCCAGAAAGAGGAAUAAUCGAGGUUGUACCAAAUACACGAAGUAGAAGUCAGAUGGGUGAAACGACUGAUGGUGGUUUGUAUGAGAUCUUCCAACAGGACUACGGAACUGUUGGCUCUCCCAGCUUUGAAGCGGCUCGUGAGAACUUCAUCAUUAGCAGUGCUGGUUAUGCAGUUGCGAGCCUUUUACUUCAACCAAAGGACAGGCACAAUGGCAAUCUUUUGUUUGAUAAUGUCGGAAGGCUUGUGCAUAUUGAUUUUGGUUUCAUCCUGGAAACUUCUCCGGGUGGAAAUAUGCGUUUUGAAAGUGCACACUUUAAGCUUAGCCAUGAGAUGACACAAUUGCUAGACCCUUCUGGGGUUAUGAAGAGUGAUACCUGGAAUCAGUUUGUGAGCUUGUGCGUGAAGGGGUACCUUGCUGCCCGUCGCCACAUGGAUGGGAUCAUUAGCACAGUGGCAUUAAUGCUAGACAGUGGAUUGCCUUGCUUCAGCAGGGGAGACCCUAUUGGAAAUCUUCGCAAGAGAUUUCAUCCCGAGAUGAGUGAGCGUGAAGCGGCCAAUUUUAUGAUCCGCGUGUGCACAGAUGCCUACAACAAAUGGACCACCGCUGGCUAUGACUUGAUACAAUAUCUGCAACAGGGCAUUGAAAAGUAAAAAAGGAAACUUCUCUCCAGUGUCAUCUUAUGUACAUGAUUCCUUGUAAUUUAUAGUAAUUACUAGCUGUGAUUUUUUUGUCCUGAGGGAUCUCCAAUUUGUAGCAUUGAGGACUCUACUCGGCUUUAAAUCGAAUCAAUUGUAUUCUAGGGAUAGAGGAUUCCUCGUGAGGUUUGUAAAGAUACAGUUUGUAGUGAUUAAAUAUAAAUGCAGUUCUUGAUCAUGUCA